rnacentral:tRNA from 1 species
GAGAGCUUUAGUUUAAUUAAAAUAUCUGUGUUGCAAUCAGGAGAUGUGGUGUUCCCGCAGGCUCUA